GACGAACGCUGGCGGCGUGCUUAACACAUGCAAGUCGAACGGAAAGGCCCUGCUUUUGUGGGGUGCUCGAGUGGCGAACGGGUGAGUAACACGUAAGUAACCUGCCCUUGACUUUGGGAUAACUUCAGGAAACUGGGGCUAAUACCGGAUAGGAGCUCCUGCUGCAUGGUGAGGGUUGGAAAGUUUCGGCGGUUGGGGAUGGACUCGCGGCUUAUCAGCUUGUUGGUGGGGUAGUGGCUUACCAAGGCUUUGACGGGUAGCCGGCCUGAGAGGGUGACCGGCCACAUUGGGACUGAGAUACGGCCCAGACUCCUACGGGAGGCAGCAGUGGGGAAUAUUGCACAAUGGGCGGAAGCCUGAUGCAGCAACGCCGCGUGCGGGAUGACGGCCUUCGGGUUGUAAACCGCUUUCGCCUGUGACGAAGCGUGAGUGACGGUAAUGGGUAAAGAAGCACCGGCUAACUACGU
rnacentral:rRNA from 1 species